rnacentral:rRNA from 1 species
GCGAGGAAUAUUGCACAAUGGACGCAAGUCUGAUGCAGUAACGCCGCGUGGGGGAAGAAGACCUUCGGGUUGUAAACCUCUUUUAUAUAGGACGAGUGAGGACGGUACUAUAGGAAUAAGUCUCGGCUAACUACGUGCCAGCAGCCGCGGUAAGACGUAGGAGGCGAGCGUUAUCCGGAUUCACUGGGCGUAAAGCGCAUGUAGGCGGUUCGAUAAGUCCGCUGUUAAAGCCCCCGGCUCAACUGGGGGAGGUCAGUGGAGACUAUAGGACUUGAGGGCAACAGAGGCACGUGGAACUCCCGGUGUAGCGGUGGAAUGCGUAGAGAUCGGGAAGAACACCAGUGGCGAAGGCGACGUGCUGGGUUGCGACUGACGCUGAGAUGCGAAAGUGUGGGGAGCAAACGGGAUUAGAAACCCGGGUAGUCC